AUUGAACGCUGGCGGCAUGCCUUACACAUGCAAGUCGAACGGCAGCACGGGAGCAAUCCUGGUGGCGAGUGGCGAACGGGUGAGUAAUAUAUCGGAACGUGCCCAGUCGGGGGGGAUAACGCAGCAAAAGCUGUGCUAAUACCGCAUACGAUCUAAGGAUGAAAGCGGGGGAUCGCAAGACCUCGCGCGAUUGGAGCGGCCGAUAUCAGAUUAGCUAGUUGGUGGGGUAAAGGCCCACCAAGGCGACGAUCUGUAGCUGGUCUGAGAGGACGACCAGCCACACUGGAACUGAGACACGGUCCAGACUCCUACGGGAGGCAGCAGUGGGGAAUUUUGGACAAUGGGCGCAAGCCUGAUCCAGCAAUGCCGCGUGCAGGAUGAAGGCCUUCGGGUUGUAAACUGCUUUUGUACGGAACGAAACGGCCCUUUCUAAUACAGGGGGCUAAUGACGGUACCGUAAGAAUAAGCACCGGCUAACUACGUGCCAGCCGCCGCGGUAA
rnacentral:rRNA from 1 species